AAGUCGUAACAAGGUCUCCGUUGGUGAACCAGCGGAAGGAUCAUUAACGAAUAACUAUGGCGUUGGUUGUAGCUGGCUCCUCGGAGCAAUGUGCACGCCCGCCAUUUUUAUCUUUCCACCUGUGCACCGACUGUAGGUCUGGAUACCUCUCGCCUCCGGGCGGAUGCGAGGGUUGCUCGUAAGGGCUUCCCUUGAACUUCCAGGCUCUACGUCUUUUUACACACCCCAAUAGUAUGAUGCAGAAUGUAGUCAAUGGGCUUCUCAGCCUAUAAAACACUAUACAACUUUCAGCAACGGAUCUCUUGGCUCUC
rnacentral:misc_RNA from 1 species